UCUACUCCAGUGGAAAGUGUUGAUGAUGUUAUUGUUAACAAUGACAAACCAAAUAAGAAGCAAAAACAACCCCUCAUGAAGACGUCCUCUAAAGAGACUAAAACAGUGGAAGAUCCCGUUGGUGGCAAGCGAGACAAAGUGCACUCCCCAGAGACCAAGAAAUUAGCUAAAAUGAAAGUGACACACACAAAUGAGUCAUUGACAAAGACACGGAAAGAAAAACACACAUUUGAAGGAGAAAAAAAUGUCUCUGACGACGCUGUGGAAAACAAUCAUGAUCCACAGAGUGGCAUGCAUCGAGAAGACCUGGAUUCUGUUCGGAGGAGGAGCUCAUGAUAUCCCCGACAAACAAAGGUGGAAGACCAACCAAGUCAUCAUCUGCUCCAGAUGGAAAUCACAUUGAGAGUUGUCAAAUCCUUGGGAAGAGGAAAGGAAAUCCUCCCAAAGAGUUUUGGUUGGCUUCACCUCAGGAUACCCCAGAGCCAGAAUCCAAAGAUGAAUCGCCGGUUGCAAUGUCUAAACAAAACACAGCCAAACCUAGUUCACCUGUGAAAAAAUCUCAAGCUGUCUUGAAGAGGGGGAAAAAUGGAACCGUUUCAGAGAAUCUGAGUUGUGAUAAAAAGGAUAAUAAAAGAAGUAAAAACAAAAGAAUCAAGAAUUCACUGAUUCAGGAUCGAGUCCAGGAACAAAAAUAUCUCGUACUACCAAGCCCCUCACAGCCAUCUGACCACAGCACACACUUGGGACACCAAGAAGCCAACUCUCAUCAGCUUUUAUCACCAAGCAGAGAUAAACGCAGAAGGAAACCUCUGGGUGAAUGGUGGAAAGUUGACGCCUUAGAGGAAGCAGAGACGUUGCCACCUGAUCUGCCGUCGUCCACUACAAUUAAACCUUCAAAAGAAAGAGAAGCUCAUCCCAAAAAAAUUGGAGGAUCUGGACAUCUGACUGUUAAGAGUCGUAGAAGAGCAUCAAAGCCUGUUGGGGGAGCUCUUGUGUCUCGCUUGAACCAAAGCAGGAAAACCCUUAAAUCAAUCCCCAAAUCAACCACGAAGACCCCCAGUGGAGCACAUCAGAGACACAGAUACCAAGAUGAAGCUGAGUUGCCUGCUUCAGGCUCCAAAGUUACACUCAUACAGAAGAAUGGCUGGAGUGCAUGCAAAGUCAUUAUGCAGGAUGAGAGCUCAGGCCAUGAGGGGCUGAACAGCACGUUUGAUGUCUGUCUGAGUGGACCAUCAUCCAGGAUUGAUCUGGACGUGUGUGAGGACUCGGAUUUGUCAUCAUCCCAAAUGCCUCCCGCUGAGCUGUCGAUGUCUGACCUGUGUGCUCCCCCUCUCAAACCUAUGGCGCUCCAGCCCGUGAACAGAACUAACCUGACCCGCUGCAUGAUGAGUCUUUGGUCCUCUCCUGCUGUUGUUGCUGGUGUCGAGACACUCAAGUGUGAAGCUGAACUCUGCAGUUGUCUUUAUGAAUCCACUCCCUCAGAGCGUUGGGCAUCAUGGAGGACAGCAACAAUGGAACGGUUUCAAGUGGGAUGUUCAUUCUCGGCUCCUACAUGAAGAAACCUGUCUGUGUGGAUCACAGCGCCACCACAGUGUUCCACUUGUCAACAAGUACUUUGAAGGUGACCAUCAAUCUACAAGAGUCUUGCUUCAUACCGGGUCACUCCUUCAUCGUGCCAUGUGGCCACACCUACAGCAUUCACAACCUCACCACUCUGCCUGCAGCCCUCUUCUUCACCAGGAUACAAGUCCAGGCUGAUGGAGACGUAUGCAGAUGUACAUUUUGUGUAUCUUUGGUGACUACAGUUGUUUAGUUUUGUCAUAGUUUUGUAAAUAGUUCACUUUUCUGUGAAGCAGUUCUGUCUUUCAGUGUUGUGUUUAUACAGAAUAGGACUUUUUACUGCAUAUCAUUUUGGUAAAAGUCAAGGUUUUAUUGUUAUUAAGUUGUCAAAAACGUUUUUUGGGUCGCAAC